ACAGCAGUCGCCACGGGAAUACAGAGGGUGCGAGCGUUAAUCGGAUUUACUGGGCGUAAAGCGUGCGUAGGCGGCUUCUUAAGUCGGAUGUGAAAUCCCUGAGCUUAACUUAGGAAUUGCAUUCGAUACUGGGAAGCUAGAGUAUGGGAGAGGAUGGUAGAAUUCCAGGUGUAGCGGUGAAAUGCGUAGAGAUCUGGAGGAAUACCGAUGGCGAAGGCAGCCAUCUGGCCUAAUACUGACGCUGAGGUACGAAAGCAUGGGGAGCAAACAGGAUUAGAGACCCCCGUAGUCCCUGUCUCUUAUAA
rnacentral:rRNA from 1 species